UUUCUUCUUCAUCUCUGUGGCUUCCCUACCUGGGGACCACUGGUCGCUAGAAAUAAACUUGGCCUUGACUUUCCCUCCUAUGGGUUGAUGGGUCUUUCAAACUUUGGUGGAACUCCCAGACAAUUUAAUUUUGGGCUGUGUUGGCUAGGGAUGUUCCCUUUUCCCAGGUUGUCUGAAAUAAAGAAGGCUUUGGCGGGGGAGCCCUGGCACCCCUUGUGACUGCUGUGAAGGUGCUUACAAAGUCCACUGAGUAGCCUCUGAUGGCUCCCUGGUUCCCUGACACAGUGGCAGGACUGGCACAGACCGAGCGGACCCCAUACUGAUUUGCUGUUCUCGGGACAGCACAGGAACAGCCGGGCAGCACCACUGACUCCUGGGAAGCAGGACGAUGACCUGCAGUCACCUGCAGCUCCUGUGCUGUCCUCUGUCUUCUACAAGUGCCAUUGGAAGGGGUCCCGGGUCCGACGUCUCCGGCGUCCUUCUGAGCCACUGCUACUCCUGAAGAGGGGUCAGCCAGUCUGUGCUUUGAUUCACCACGGGGAUGAGCAGGAAUCGUCGGUGCAAUUUUACCUGCGUAAACAAGCGAACCUUCUUCCACUGAGCUUCUGCCUUGAGACGUCUGUGAGUGCCGCCUGAUCACUUGGUGAGCAGCUGUUUCAGCUGCCCGGAUGGAGGGCAGUCCAGUCAGUUACGGCCUCUCCCUCUCCCGAGCUGCGCCCUGUCCUCCUGGAGGCGAAGGGCUGAGUCUCAGAUCCCGGACUUUGGUGCAGAGCAGGAAGACCUGUCCUUGGUCUGCUCCAUGCUGUGCUGGUGUCUGCGCUCCUCCCUCAGGGCGCCUGCAGGGAAACUGCAUCCUGCUCUCCUCUCUGCAGCCUUUGGGACCAGGGCACGGCCAUCCAGACACGGCCUUAGCUUCCUUGUCUCUCCUGGGCCAGGUGGGCAGGUGAGAUGCCUCCCCAGCCUCCGUGGGCCUAGAGAAUCUCAGGGGCCUGGU